GGGCCCGCACAAGCGGUGGAGCAUGUGGUUUAAUUCGAUGAUACGCGAGGAACCUUACCAGGGCUUAAAUGUAGUCUGACAGGGGUGGAAACACCCCCUCCUUCGGGCAGAUUACAAGGUGCUGCAUGGUUGUCGUCAGCUCGUGCCGUGAGGUGUCAGGUUAAGUCCUAUAACGAGCGCAACCCCCUGCCGUUAGUUGCCAGCAUGUAAUGAUGGGAACUCUAACGGGACUGCCGGUGCAAACCGCGAGGAAAGGUGGGGAUGACGUCAAAUCAUCACGGCCCUUACGUCCUGGGCUACACACGUGCUACAAUGGCCGGUACAGAGGGCAGCCACACGCAAGGUGGAGCGAAUCUUCAAAGCCGGUCUC
rnacentral:rRNA from 1 species